rnacentral:rRNA from 1 species
CGUGCACGCCCGAGCGCUCUCACACAAUCCAUCUCACCUUUGUGCAUCACCGCGUGGGUCCCCUUUGCGGGAGGGCUUGCGUUUUCACAUAAAACUCGAUACAGUGUAGAAUGUUUCUUUUGCGGUCACACGCAAUCAAUACAACUUUCAACAACGGAUCUCUUGGCUCUCGCAUCGAUGAAGAACGCAGCGAAAUGCGAUACGUAAUGUGAAUUGCAGAAUUCAGUGAAUCAUCGAAUCUUUGAACGCACCUUGCGCCCCUUGGCAUUCCGAGGGGCACACCCGUUUGAGUGUCGUGAAAUCUUCGGAUUUUUGGACUUGGAGGUUUAAUGCUCGCCCUUUCUUUCGAAAGCGAGCUCCUCUCAAAUGAAUCAGUGGGGUCCGCUUUGCUGAUCCUUGACGUGAUAAAAUGUUUCUACGUUUUGGGUUUAGCACUGUCCCUUGGACGCCUGCUCCUAACUGUCUCGUUGACAAUGAUGGUGCUCCGGUCACCGCCGUCUACAUCGGCGGGAGGCUGGAAGAAAACCUUG